UGUCGCCGCAACAUGUCGCACAAAUUCAAACUGGUUUGAUUCUGUGCGACCUAUCGCGGCGAUAAAAUCAGAAAAAUAUCAUUGUCGCUAUUUGCGCAGCGUGUGAACAUUU